GCUCCUCCGAUCUUGGAUAUUGUCGCCAUCAAUGACCCCUUCACUGACCUCAACUACAUGGUCUACAUGUUCCAGUAUGAUUCCACCCAUGGCAAAUUCCACAGCAUAGUCAAGGCUGAGAACAGGAAGCUUGUCAUCAAUGGAAAGUCCAUCUCCAUCUUCCAGGAGCGAGAUCCCACCAACAUCAAAUGGGGUGAUGCU